rnacentral:rRNA from 1 species
AUCUGGGCGGCGGAAUUCAAGACGGCUGGCGAGUCUCGCGCCCGUUCGGCCGUUCGAUAUUUCCGUCGCCGUGUCAGACGUCGCGACCUGUUUGUCGUCGGUCCUUGCUCGGAGGAAUUGCGAUCGAGUUCGUUGCGGGCACGUUUCGGCGUGCUCCGCGGCGAAGACGCGACUCUCUGGCUGACGACGGACAGUAAGCAACGGUGUCCGGCGCCGUGUCUCGCACUCGGCGUCGGUGCCGGUCAGCGACGAUUUCUUCGGGCCUCUUUCCGACCCGUCUUGAAACACGGACCAAGGAGUCUAACAUGCGCGCGAGUCGCGGGGUUUCGAGCGUACCACGGUGCGCUCGUUACUUCCGAAACCCGUACGUUGAAGGCGUAAUGAAAGUGAAUAGGGAAGAUGGCGUUCCGAGUCCACGUACCGUGAUCGAGUAUCGCGGCCGGACGUCCGCACUCCCGGGGCGUCUCAAUGGUUCGCCACGGACGCGGACGAUCGUCUUUCGGGGCGGUCGUCGGUCUGUGGCGGUCCGA